rnacentral:lncRNA from 1 species
CUGGACUCCUGCUAACUUCAGUAUGGAUGGCACCGGGUUCAACAGACUGAAGAAGAGACACAGAACCAGCGACGAGACCACAGGGUUUACUAAGAACUUACAUACAGUGGUCCAGUGGCAGUUGGCUGGAUAGCAGAACUGCUGAUGCCUUCAGGAAACAUUUGCUGCUGAUACUGAAUCCAGAGAGGUGAACAGAUUUCCCCUUCCUAAUAAUACAACCACAGCAACAGCAGCUGUGACUGAGGAGAAACCAGAACUAACAUCUCUUCAAGAGGGGACCCCCUGAUUCAACAGGCAUUAUUCAUUAUCUGAAGGCUGGGAAGGAGAUUGAUAGACUAAGAACCUUGGCUGAUCCUCUGGAGACAGACUGCUCAUUAAUCUUGAGAUGGACAAAGCUCCAUAAGCCUUCCAAUGGUCUUCUGACAAUACGGCCUUGAAUUAUAUUCUUUUCUAACCUGGCCUUCCAUAUGUGUUUUUCUAGGUCCCUAAGGAGGAGAAGGGCAAAUAGGGAAUUAUGUUUGGAUUGGCUGGACAAAUAGAAAAGAACGGUGCAUGUUAGGUAAAACCACAGUAGACUACAAAAAUAUUUCUGAAUUCAUCAUUCUACAGUAAUGUGUUAGUAUGAGCAUUCAAUAUAACCAUCUGCUAUGGCAUAAUGAGUUCAGAGGGCAUCUCUAUUGACACGGGUAAAGGAAAACUUGUCAUUUGAAGUUGGUAGCACACCUGAUGGAUGGAGCAUGAAAUGAAAACUUCCCAUCAUCUUUCUUAUAAGGGAAGCUGAUGCUUGCUUGGAUUAGUUAAAAUGGACCUAAACAGAAAUACAAAGUUCACCUUGCACACUUAAAGGCCAUUGCAGAAAUUUUUGAUACUAUCUAAAGACUUGCC